UGGACAAAUUAUUGUAUUCGACUGUAUUCAUGGCGUGAAAUAGGGGAUUACACUGUUUUUAAAACGGAAAGUGAAUCAAUUAACAUAAUAGAGUCCU
rnacentral:pre_miRNA from 1 species